rnacentral:lncRNA from 1 species
UCGUUAUGAUUAAGUUGAAAAUAGAAAAAUAUUUGACAAGCAUGUUCAUCAGUGCAAAACAAAAUAAAAGUAAAAAAGAACAAUAAAACAAAUCCAGUGUUUUUAUGCUCAUGCUCCUUUUCUUCUUUCUUUCUUUCUACUUCACUCACCUUGCACAAAUCUCCUUAGGAAUGCCAAAAUUUUUCUGCCCAAUAUGCCUUGGAAUUGUUUUUCUCGACUUUCUAUGUUUUUCUCUCAAAUGGGAAGUAGGAAAAUGGGAAAGAGGAGAAGAGAAC